AUUGACUCUGCACGUUCGUUUGCGUCGCGUAAGGUCGCUGGGAGUUCUUUUUCGACAAUAACUUGUGCUGUAGCGACGUGCCGGAACGCGACACGCUUGUAUCCGUUCUAAUGAGGUGCACACUGUCAAUUGUGCUUGUCGAGCCCAUCGCCUGAACUCUGCUCCUGAGCGACUGUUGGCAAAGUGUCAGAGCUUGUCGAGAUAAUUGUUCUCUCUCAGAAUCACGUCUCUCUAUCGACAAUUUAAAGGGAAAAAUGACUAUUCGUAUUACGUUUAAAAUUAUAAUUAUGUUGCAUCUAUUUUAUUUUGUUAUCAGUGAAAAACAACAAUGCAAAUAAAAUAGUAAUAGAUACAGAUCCUGGAAGAGAUGAUGCUCUAGCAGUAAUGCUGGCUGUAAAAUGUAUGGAUGUCAAUAUUCAAGGCAUAACUGUUACAUAUGGCAAUACAAAUUUAGAAAAUGCAGAAAAGAAUUUAUUAAAAAUCUUAACAGUUGCAGAAAAACAAAUUUGUAUUACACACACAGAUGAAAAAGAAACUUGUCUGAAAUAUUUUUUGUUUUCAUUUAUCU
rnacentral:lncRNA from 1 species